rnacentral:tRNA from 1 species
CGGCGCGCUAGCCGGGCAACAAGGCGCGGCGUUCGAGUCGAUGCGCAAGCAUCUUGCGCUCGGUCGCGAGGCGCUGUCC